rnacentral:rRNA from 1 species
AGAACAUAUGUGUAAGUAACUGUGCACAUCUUGACGGUACCUAAUCAGAAAGCCACGGCUAACUACGUGCCAGCAGCCGCGGUAAUACGUAGGUGGCAAGCGUUAUCCGGAAUUAUUGGGCGUAAAGCGCGCGUAGGCGGUUUUUUAAGUCUGAUGUGAAAGCCCACGGCUCAACCGUGGAGGGUCAUUGGAAACUGGAAAACUUGAGUGCAGAAGAGGAAAGUGGAAUUCCAUGUGUAGCGGUGAAAUGCGCAGAGAUAUGGAGGAACACCAGUGGCGAAGGCGACUUUCUGGUCUGUAACUGACGCUGAUGUGCGAAAGCGUGGGGAUCAAACAGGAUUAGAUACCCUGGUAGUCCACGCCGUAAACGAUGAGUGCUAAGUGUUAGGGGGUUUCCGCCCCUUAGUGCUGCAGCUAACGCAUUAAGCACUCCGCCUGGGGAGUACGACCGCAAGGUUGAAACUCAAAGGA